rnacentral:rRNA from 1 species
AGUGAACGCUGGCGGCGUGCUUAACACAUGCAAGUCGAACGAGAACGGGUUAUAGCUUGCUAUAAUUGUCAGCUAAGUGGCGCACGGGUGAGUAAUGUAUAGGUAAUAUGCCUCUUACUAAGGGAUAACAAAUGGAAACGUUUGCUAAUACCUUAUACUCCUUAUUAACAGAAGUUAAUAAGGGAAAGAUUAUUGGUAAGAGAUUAGCCUGUAUUGUAUCAGUUAGUUGGUGGGGUAAUGGCUUACCAAGACUAUGACACAUAACUGGUUUGAGAGGAUGAUCAGUCACACUGGAACUGAGACACGGUCCAGACUCCUACGGGAGGCAGCAGUGGGGAAUAUUGCACAAUGGACGAAAGUCUGAUGCAGCAACGCCGCGUGGAGGAUGACACAUUUCGGUGCGUAAACUCCUUUUAUAUGAGAAGAUAAUGACGGUAUUAUAUGAAUAAGACACCGGCUAACUCCGUG